CGGCGGGUAGGCCCGGGGGGCUCGGCCUCCCCUGUAACCGCAAACGGCCGAUAUGGCGGGGGCAGUAACCCCGGCAAGCGGCUUGGGGUGCUUGGGGUCCCUCCAGCUCCGAGCUAUGAUGCUCCGCCCCAUGGAGGCGCCGUAGGGGAUAGCUCCCCCGUAGGGGGGAUGCGAAUCCCUUCACCGGCCGAACCAGGUUAGGCCCGGGAGGGAGCGGCCUUAAGGCCGGGCGGCGUCGUUCAUGGGUUAACGGGGCUGAGCAAGGAGCUGGAUGAGGAGCCCAAGCAGCCCAAGCUCAUUGCCGGGGGGCCGCCG
rnacentral:SRP_RNA from 1 species